GAUGAACGCUGGCGGCGUGCCUAAUACAUGCAGGUCGAGCGAACGGACGAGAAGCUUGCUUUUCUGAUGUUAGCGGCGGACGGGUGAGUAACACGUGGAUAACCUACCUAUAAGACUGGGAUAACUUCGGGAAACCGGAGCUAAUACCGGAUAAUAUUUUGAACCGCAUGGUUCAAAAGUGAAAGACGGUCUUGCUGUCACUUAUAGAUGGAUCCGCGCUGCAUUAGCUAGUUGGUAAGGUAACGGCUUACCAAGGCAACGAUGCAUAGCCGACCUGAGAGGGUGAUCGGCCACACUAGAACUGAGACACGGUCCAGACUCCUACGGGAGGCAGCAGUAGGGAAUCUUCCGCAAUGGGCGAAAGCCUGACGGAGCAACGCCGCGUGAGUGAUGAAGGUCUUCGGAUCGUAAAACUCUGUUAUUAGGGAAGAACAUAUGUGUAAGUAACUGUGCACAUCUUGACGGUACCUAAUCAGAAAGCCACGGCUAACUACGUG
rnacentral:rRNA from 1 species